rnacentral:rRNA from 1 species
UGCGCAGGCGGCUUACUAAGUCAGUGGUGAAAUCUUGCGGCUUAACCGUAAAACUGCCAUUGAUACUGGUAGGCUUGAAUUCAGUUGAGGUUGGCGGAAUGUGUAAUGUAGCGGUGAAAUGCUUAGAUAUUACACAGAACACCGAUUGCGAAGGCAGCUAGCUAAACUGAUAUUGACGCUGAGGCACGAAAGCGUGGGGAGCGAACAGGAUUAGAUACCCUGGUAGUC